rnacentral:rRNA from 1 species
UACGUAGGGGGCAAGCGUUGUCCGGAAUUACUGGGCGUAAAGGGCGCGUAGGCGGCGACUCAAGUUAGAUGUGAAAGUCCUGGGCUUAACCUGGGGACUGCAUUUGAUACUGGGUUGCUUGAAUUCGGGAGAGGAUAGCGGAAUUCCCAGUGUAGAGGUGAAAUUCGUAGAUAUUGGGAAGAACACCGGUGGCGAAGGCGGCUAUCUGGACCGACAUUGACGCUGAGGCGCGAAAGCGUGGGGAGCAAACAGG